GUGAACCUUUACUAUAGCUUCACAGUGGACUUUGAGCCUGCUUGUGUAGGAUAGCUGGGAGACAUUGAAGCGGUGACGCUAGUCAUCGUGGAGUCGUCCUUGAAAUACCAGCCUGGCAUGUUCGAGGUUCUAACCCAGGUCCCUUAUCGGGAUCGGGGACAUUGUGUGGUGGGUAGUUUGACUGGGG
rnacentral:rRNA from 13 species